AACGAACGCUGGCGGCAUGCCUAACACAUGCAAGUCGAACGAGACCUUCGGGACUUUGCGCGUACGGGUUCGUAACGCGAGGGGACCUGCACUCAGGGUUGAACUAACUCUCCGAAAGGGGUGCUAAUACGGGAUAAUGUCUUCGGACCAAAGAUUUAUCGCCUUUGGAUGGGCCUGCGUUGGAUUAGGUAGUUCGUAGGGUAAACGACCACCAAGGCGACGAUCCGACGCUGGGUAGGGAGGAGGAUCAGCCACCCUGGGACUGAGACACGGCCCAGACUCCUCCGGGAGGCAGCAGUGCGGAAUGUGGGACACCGGGCGAAAGCCUGAUCCAUCACGGUCGCGUGACUGAUGAAGGCCUUAGGGUUGCAAAUCUUUUUUAUCCUGGAAGAUAUUGACGGUACCGGGAGAGAAAGCCCCGGCUAACUCCGUG
rnacentral:rRNA from 1 species